GAUGAACGCUAGCUACAGGCUUAACACAUGCAAGUCGAGGGGAAACGAUAGAGAAAGCUUGCUUUUUCUAGGCGUCGACCGGCGCACGGGUGAGUAACGCGUAUCCAACCUGCCCAUCACUUGGGGAUAACCUUGCGAAAGUAAGACUAAUACCCAAUGACGUCUCUAGAAGACAUCUGAAGGAGAUUAAAGAUUUAUCGGUGAUGGAUGGGGAUGCGUCUGAUUAGCUUGUUGGCGGGGUAACGGCCCACCUAGUCUUCGAUGGAUAGGGGUUCUGAGAGGAAGGUCCCCCACAUUGGAACUGAGACACGGUCCAAACUCCUACGGGAGCAGCAGUGAGGAAUAUUGGUCAAUGGGCGAGAGCCUGAACCAGCCAAGUAGCGUGAAGGAUGACUGCCCUAUGGGUUGUAAACUUCUUUUAUAAAGGAUAAAGUCGGGUAUGGAUACCCGUUUGCAUGUACUUUANGAAUAAGGAUCGGCUAACUCCGUG
rnacentral:rRNA from 1 species